rnacentral:rRNA from 1 species
UUGAACGCUGGCGGCAUGCUUUACACAUGCAAGUCGAACGGUAACAGGCCUUCGGGUGCUGACGAGUGGCGAACGGGUGAGUAAUGCAUCGGAACGUACCCAGAGGUGGGGGAUAACGCAGCGAAAGCUGUGCUAAUACCGCAUGUGAUCUGAGGAUGAAAGCGGGGGACCGAGCAGCAAUGUUUGGCCUCGCGCCUUUGGAGCGGCCGAUGUCGGAUUAGCUAGUUGGUGGGGUAAAGGCCUACCAAGGCGACGAUCCGUAGCUGGUCUGAGAGGACGACCAGCCACACGGGGACUGAGACACGGCCCAGACUCCUACGGGAGGCAGCAGUGGGGAAUUUUGGACAAUGGGCGCAAGCCUGAUCCAGCAAUGCCGCGUGCGGGAAGAAGGCCUUCGGGUUGUAAACCGCUUUUGGCAGGAACGAAACGGUGUCCGCUAAUACCGGGCGCUAAUGACGGUACCUGCAGAAUAAGCACCGGCUAACUACGUG